GUAAACCUCUUUUCUCAAGGAAGAAGACAUGACGGUACUUGAGGAAUAAGCCACGGCUAAUUCCGUGCCAGCAGCCGCGGUAAUACGGGAGUGGCAAGCGUUAUCCGGAAUUAUUGGGCGUAAAGCGUCCGCAGGCGGCCUUGUAAGUCUGUCGUUAAAGCGUGGAGCUUAACUCCAUUUAAGCGAUGGAAACUACAAGGCUUGAGUGUGGUAGGGGCAGAGGGAAUUCCCGGUGUAGCGGUGAAAUGCGUAGAUAUCGGGAAGAACACCAGUGGCGAAGGCGCUCUGCUGGGCCAUAACUGACGCUCAUGGACGAAAGCCAGGGGAGCGAAAGGGAUUAGAUACCCCUGUAGUCCUGGCCGUAAACGAUGAACACUAGGUGUCGGGGGAAUCGACCCCCUCGGUGUCGUAGCUAACGCGUUAAGUGUUCCGCCUGGGGAGUACGCACGCAAGUGUGAAACUCAAAGGAAUUGACGGGGGCCCGCACAAGCGGUGGAGUAUGUGGUUUAAUUCGAUGCAACGCGAAGAACCUUACCAGGGUUUGACAUCCUGCGAAUCCCUUGGAAACGAGGGAGUGCCUUCGGGAGCGCAGAGACAGGUGGUGCAUGGCUGUCGUCAGCUCGUGUCGUGAGAUGUUGGGUUAAGUCCCGCAACGAGCGCAACCCACGUCUUUAGUUGCCAGCAUUCAGUUGGGCACUCUAGAGAGACCGCCGGUGAUAAACCGGAGGAAGGUGUGGAUGACGUCAAGUCAUCAUGCCCCUUACAUCCUGGGCUACACACGUACUACAAUGCUACGGACAAAGGGUUGCAAGCUCGCGAGAGUUAGCUAAUCCCAUAAACCGUGGCUCAGUUCAGAUCGUAGGCUGCAACUCGCCUACGUGAAGGAGGAAUCGCUAGUAAUCGCAGGUCAGCAUACUGCGGUGAAUACGUUCCCGGGCCUUGUACACACCGCCCGUCACACCAUGGAAGUUGGCCAUGCCCGAAGUCGUUACUCCAACCCUUGUGGAGGAGGACGCCGAAGGUGGGGCUGAUGACUGGGGUGAAGUCGUAACAAGGUAGCCGUACCGGAAGGUGCGGCUGGAUCACCUCCU
rnacentral:rRNA from 1 species